GGGUCCACCUUCAGGGUGGAGUAANGMAAUAGCAUCCGUCUGGGAGUACGGCGCAAGSUGAGACUCAAAGGAAUUGACGGGACCNGCACAAGCGGUGGAGCAUGUGGUUAAUUCGAAGCAACGCGAAGAACCUUACSAGGUCUUGACAUCCCGAGGACCGCUCUAGAGAUAGAGUUUUUCUUSGGAACGUCGGUGACAGGUGGUGCAUGGUUGUCGUCAGCUCGUGUCGUGAGAUGUUGGGUUAAGUCCCGCAASGAGCGCAACCCCUAUAACUAGUUGCCAGCAUUAAGAUGGGGACUCUAGUUAGACUGCCGGUGACAAACCGGAGGAAGGUGGGGAUGACGUCAAAUCAUCAUGCCCCCUUAUGACCUGGGCUACACACGUGCUACAAUGGAUGGUACAACGAGCAGCGMACUCGCGAGGGUAAGCGAAUCUCUAAAAGCCAUUCUCAGUUCGGAUUGUAGUCUGCAACUCGACUACAUGAAGCCGGAAUCGCUAGUAAUCGCGGAUCAGCACGCCGCGGUGAAUACGUUCCCGGGUUU
rnacentral:rRNA from 1 species